GGGAUGAAAGAAAAGAAAUACCUGCCCCUAAUAGAGCUGACUUUUCAGACAAAUGUGGAUUAAAUGGAAGAAAAAGUGCACUCUCAACAGCACACAGUUGGUGCUCAGCAAGUAAAAAUGAUGGGCAGCAAGUGCUUUAAGAGGAGUCAUGGAAACAAAGUGUCUUCCACCAAAGACAUACAUACAGGAUGCUCAUGUCUCCAGGAACACUUACCCUGGUUCAGAAGAAGCCCCCAAUCUGACUUAACUGUUUUUGGAUACACUGUGAGACUUUUUUAUCAAGAGGAACCUGGGUGGCUCAGUUGGUUAAACAUCUGACUCUU